UGCAGAAUCCCGCGAACCAUCGAGUCUUUGAACGCAAGUUGCGCCCGAGGCCAAUCGGCCAAGGGUACGUCUGCCUGGGUGUCAAGC
rnacentral:rRNA from 1 species